CCCACCCCUCGGGCGCGCCCCCUUUAAAAAAGCGCGGGCGAGUCCUGCGCAGGCGCAGUGCCGCCAUGAGCCUGGUCACUCAGGCACAGUGAAGCCGAGGAGGGCUGAGGUGGUACCUUUCACGGUUCCCAGCAAGAGUGACAAAACCCUGUUGGUGUGGGAGCUGAGCCUUGACCCUACGGUCAAAGCCUUGCAUCCUUUUCCCGCUUCGCCUUCUGUGUGCGGUGCGCGUCUUCCCCAACGCUGUGGCCGCCCCGCCCGGUUUUUACGCAGCGGUCAUUUUAUUCUGCGCGCGCUGCUCACUCAGCCCAAGGGGCCUGCGGCCGGCAGCCGCUCUUCCAGUUCUCUCCGCUGAAGGUUCGUCUCAGCAGACAUAAACCACUUCAGCAUUGGACACUUGCCCUAAAAUGUUCCCAAUGCCAGGAACUGGCAAAAUGCUAUCUUGGUUUCAAUGGAUGGUCUGAAAGGAUUGUCAGCUUUGGAAGUGGAGAUAGA